rnacentral:misc_RNA from 1 species
GAUGAAGAACGCAGCGAAAUGCGAUAAGUAGUGUGAAUUGCAGAAUUCAGUGAAUCAUCGAAUCUUUGAACGCACAUUGCGCCCUUUGGUAUUCCUUAGGGCAUGCCUGUUCGGGCGUCAUUUAAACCUUCAAGCUCAGCUUGGUGUUGGGUGACUGUCCGCUUCACCGCGGACUCGCCUCAAAAUUAUUGGCGGCCGGUACAUUGGCUCUCGAGCGCAGCAGAAACGCGUAACUCGAGGUCCUCGUGCUGGCUCCCAGAAGCUAUCUUCACAAUUUUGACCUCGGAUCAGGUAGGGAUACCCGCUGAACUUAAGCAUAUCAAUAAGCGGAGGA